GUGGGGAAUCUUAGACAAUGGGCGCAAGCCUGAUCUAGCCAUGCCGCGUGAGCGAUGAAGGCCUUAGGGUUGUAAAGCUCUUUCAGCUGGGAAGAUAAUGACGGUACCAGCAGAAGAAGCCCCGGCUAACUCCGUGCCAGCAGCCGCGGUAAUACGGAGGGGGCUAGCGUUGUUCGGAAUUACUGGGCGUAAAGCGCACGUAGGCGGAUCAGAAAGUCAGAGGUGAAAUCCCAGGGCUCAACCUUGGAACUGCCUUUGAAACUCCUGAUCUUGAGGUCGAGAGAGGUGAGUGGAAUUCCGAGUGUAGAGGUGAAAUUCGUAGAUAUUCGGAGGAACACCAGUGGCGAAGGCGGCUCACUGGCUCGAUACUGACGCUGAGGUGCGAAAGCGUGGGGAGCAAACAGGAUUAGAAACCCGAGUAGUC
rnacentral:rRNA from 1 species